UACUCGGAUUGUCGACGAGACUGACGA
rnacentral:sRNA from 1 species